GGGAGAGAGGGAGGGGUAUAGGAACCACUGAUAGGAUUCAAAUGUUAAUAAUGGAUGUGUUUUGAGAAGUGAAUGUACCUCUUCUGAUGCCAUUGCUGGUAUUCAGUAAUUUUCCACUCUUCCUUCACACUAGUCCCUUAGGUUUAUAUGUGGGGACCCCCUUUUCCCCACUCCUACUUAGGAAUCCUUUGUGGCAUCAAUCAGAAAUCUGUGGUCAUCGUACGAUGACAUUGACACCUUUUCCCACUACUUUCCUCCCAGUGACUGCUAUCCGGUAAACAAUAGCAUUUAAAGAAUAAGUCUGCCAGUUGGUGGGAAGUCCCAUUAUUUGAUGAAGAAUAACUUUCUUUCUUCAAAUGAAUAGGUCUCUAUAGAUUGUGAAAUUAGGUUUGCGACCACCUUACUAGGCCAGCAUAUUGUGUGUGUGUGUGUGUGUGUGUGUGUGUGUUUCUUUGUUGUCAACGUGCCUAUUGUCGGCGAUUGUGCAAGUGGCCGAAACCUCGCUCAGGCCCAUUCUGACUCAGCGGGGUGUGGUAUGGUCUUCCCCAGACAAAGCCUUUCUUAUGGGGAAAUUCCCUUAGUAUUGUUACUUGAUCACUCACAGGUAUGCUUUUUAAAACUCAGAUUGGCUUCUUUUUUUUUAUUCCUCACCCGAGGAUAUUUUUCCAUUGAUUUUUAGAGAGAGUGGAAGAGAGAGGGAAAGACAGAGAGAAAUAUCGAUGUGAGAGAAACACAUCGAUUGGUUGCCUCCUGCGUGUGCCCGGACCAGGACCCGGGCUGGGGAGGAGCCUGCAACCGGAGUACAAGCCCUUGACUGGAAUCAAACCCAGGACCCUUUGGUCUGCAGACCAACACUCUAUCCACUGAGCAAAACCGGCUAGGGCCAGGUUGGCUUCUUUAUUGAAAUGCAGGGACUGGGCAUUAGAAUAACCCCCAUUUCCCCUUUUCAGUGAUCUCCGAAGACGGUGGGCUGGGGGAAAAGGUUGCGUGACCUUAGGCAUGUCACCUCUCCCCACCCCCAUCUUUGUUCCCUCAUCUGUAAAAGUCAGACUGUGGCCUCCUUCCACGUCCCCUCCAGGCACUCACAUGGCGGGGAUGUGUAUUGUCUUGGCUGAUGGGGUGGGGAGGGUGGGAAGCAAAGUGAAUAAGGAAAAUACCAUCUCAUGCCAGCGGGCUGGGCGACCUGAUAUUGGCGAAACUGAAUUUCUCCGAGUCUGAGCCCAUCUUCCCUGGGAUCCCUUUCAGACAUAACGACCUAGUCAAAGUAGUAGGUGCUCAUUAGCCCCAGUGCUGACAUCGCUGAAUUCUUUCUCCUGACCUCCUACAUUUCCCUUCUCUUUGUGAUCAAUAAUCCUAUAUAAUAAAAGCCUAAUAUGCUAAGUGUCCGGUUGUUCAUACAACCAAUCAAAGAGUAAUAUGCUAAUGAUAUGCUAAGGUCGCUCAACUGCUCUCUAUGACAUGUACUGACCACCAGGGGGAAGACUCUCUGGUAGGUUAGCUUGCAGCUGGGGUCCGGCUGAUCAGGACUGAACAAGACAGGCUGGAUGUGACCUCAAGCCCUCCCGCCGUCCCUCCCUGGCUGGCCUACGUCCCGCAUCGCUCCCCAGCUCCAAUUGCGCACCAAUGGGGUCCCUCGGCCUGGCCUGUGCCCUUUCGCAAUCUGGGCUGAGGGACCCUCCCCCCCCAGUGCAUGAAUUUUGUGCACUAGGCCUCUAGUGUGGAAUAAAAAGCUAUGACCAAAAUGGAAGAGUUGGGGCAUUUUGUUUAGGGAUACAAUGAACAGUCACGUUGCCUUUAGGAAUGAGUCUCGUUUCCAGAAUAAAGUCAGGCCGGGUGGGACACUGCAUUGUCCCCAGAGUUUGGUGUGGACAUGAAUGGGUUCAAGUGAAGCAGAGUAAGCCAAACAAAGCCCACUACCCAGAGUGUGGAGCAGCCCCUGCAGAACUAGGGGCGCCAUCAUCCCUCUCUCUCUUGGGCAGGCUUGGCCGCCUGGCACCUGGGAAACUCGAGAAGUUCACCCCAAAAUAGCUGGCACUAUAACCUCAACCCUCAGUCCCAUGGCAGGCAAACAGCUGUGAAACACUGGACCUCUGGCCCUCCGUUUUUCCUUCUCGGAGCAGAAAACAAUGCCAUUUCUAAAAAUCGGAGCAGGCUGUAAUUAGGCCGCCAACAAACAGGGCAGGCAUUUCCUAUCAGGUACAUGUAAAGAAGAGAGGUGGUUAUUCCUAUUUUCUAGGAAAAUCCGCCCGUAGCCCGGCCUUGGAAACCCAUCAGAGAAUGCAGUGGGUCCUUCGGGAUGUGUUUUAAUUGGGAGCCUCUAGGGGUCAGCACCGCGUCAAGGAAGGGCACUCUGGUCCUGGAUAGUCUGGCCUGUUUCCCUGAGUGCGGGAGCGGGCUGACCUCAAAGGGCAGGAGAGGAGAGAGUGGCCCAGGUAAACACAGCAGAAGGCGCAGAGCCCUUUUCCUGGACAUAAACCCUAACUUUUGGCUCAGGUUGUUUUUCUCUCCCCUGCUUUCUUCCUUUGCAUCUUCCUCCACAGCUCCCGCACCCCCUGUGCACACUGUCAGCUCCAUAAACGCAUCCUAUUGACCGAUCAGUGGCGCGUGGCACUUAGCUCCCUCUGGAAGGCUGGGGAGACGCGGAGGGGAUGGACAGAGCAGUUCCUCACUCUGAGUGCGGAGGCAGCCUGGGCCUGCUGCUCAUUAGCCACAGGCUCUGCCAAACCUGCAACUCCCACCCCAGCUGCAGGGCCCCGGGGGCAGCGCCGGACCACAGGCUUCCACUUGGAACCGCACCCGGCUCCCGGGGGCGGCACGGGUCAGGCGUGGUGGGGGAGGGUUUGAGCAUCUACAGGAGACCUGGGCAUAAUCGAAGUCGGGAGCCCCCCAAAACUGGUGGGCACUCCUGGGGGCUCCAGGGCAUAAGACCAGAGGACACCAAGUCCAAACCCAGAGGCAGCCUGGGGAGCUCCCAGAGUUUCCCCGGGGUUGCCUUUUAGUCCAACAAGGAACGAAAGAUUGGGGCCAGCAGAUUCGUUGAAAUUACUAGUGACUCUAAAAUGGAACCCGAGGGCCGGGCAGGGCUACAGAAACCAGCCUGCCCUCCUCGCUACCUGCCGUCCUCGGUCCUGCCCCCUGGCAGAGCCCUCCUCAAGGCCAUGCAGACUCUUCUAAUAACAGAAGGGGCUGCUCCAGGCUCUUCGUAAUGAAGAGGCUUUGAGCUCCCCCUGGAAUAAAUAGCAGCAAAAUCCACUUUGUGGUCAGGCCAGGGCUGAGCAAGAAGAUAGUGCUUCCUCGUCUGCUCACACCUGGGAGCCGGCAGUAGCCUCACCAUCAUGCGCCCACAGCUUCCAGCUCCAGCCUGCCUUCUAGAACUUUCCUUCCCCACCUCUGUGCAGAGGCAGCGUGCACACUCUCAGAACCCUGCCGCGGCUGGGUAAUUCUGCGUGUCUUAGAUCAAUGCGUGGAGAUUGGAGAGCACUUUUCAAAGGCAAACUUCAUUCAUGCUGAAGCUCAUUUGUUUGUCUGAAUGAUCUACCGCCAUCACCGCCACAACGUUCCUGUAGGGAACAUUGGUGCCCACACCUGCUUUCCUCAAUUCUGAGGGCCUAGUGUCGUCACCAGCUCCCCGUGAUCGUGAUCAGGACCCCCUGGUCCUGGCAGGUGGGCAUGGGCUCACUGGUGAGCGGCUGCAGAGGCUGUAGAGGCUGCAGGGAGCAGGACGUGCCAGACCCAGAAGGGGUGCUUUUCUGUCCUCUGAUGCUGCAAGGAGAAAGGGAGGGGAGCAGAAACGGUGAGUCGGAGACAACCUUUGAACUUGUAAUCCUGCAGGGAACACGAAGCUGUGCGGGUUCGGGAAGGGGAGGGGACCGUGUCUCCUAGGGACGCGGAAAAGCUGGUUUUCCAGAUCGGACUCUUGCUCCCAGAUGGCCUUCGUCUUUAAACCGUUCGUUUCCCGUGCUCAGAAGUGUGAAGGGCCACUCGGAGCCUCGGCUACAAGGGGCUAUAAAAAUACAAACCGUUGUGAAGAAUGGACUUUACAUUGGGGUCUGGAGUGUGUCCGUUUCACAGCUCCUGACUGCAGUACUCCCCGGAAUAUGAAUCUAAUUAACCGAAAAGGACGGGGGCCACGUCUCCCGCCAGGUCUCACUGCUGCAAGACUUCAAGUUGAAGGCACCCUAAUGAGGGCUGUCCAGCCGCCUUUUCCCCCUCAUCACCUCCCCCUCCCACCUUGCCGGACACUGAGCACUUUAUAAUUCAAAGCUCAUCUAAAUUUCACAGGGUGGUGUAAUUCAGACCUUUACUAGGCACACCACUACCUCAGAAGCAUGGCCUUCACAUCUGCAGGUGGCCUUAGCUUUCAUACUGUGUGAAAAAUAACUAUGACCUAACCCGUGCCUUUUACCAGCGGCCUUGUACAGUGUAGCUAAAAGCAGUGAUUCCAGCCAGGAGAGGGCGGUACUUGGGGACAGAGCUAAGCAAUCCUGGUGUCUUUUGACGUCUUCUUCCUUCCAAGACUAUUUCUGACCCUGGCCAGCUCCCAGGUGACUCCCGGAACUGGUUACCAAAAGGGCUAAGUGAGAUCACGGUAGCGAUUGGGUGUAGAAGUCUAGCCCACAGGGAACAAACCAGUGCCCUUCUCAUGGUGGACGAAGGCGUCUCGUCCGUGCAUGCCUUGCAAGCUUUUGAAAAAGAUCUGUUAGCCAGACUCACGCCGGACGUGUCAUCUCAUUCGAUGCUAAUGAACUCAUCCAACCCGUCCACAUAGUCUGGUCUCGGGACUCUGGCCAACCCUUUGCCUAAGCCAUGAACGCACAUCCCCUUGCUCUGAGCCCCACUCUCUUCAGCUCCAGAAGCACACAAACGAAAGUUGCCACGUGCGCUUGAAAAUUCCAUUUGGAAGCUCGUGUUGGUGACUCUGGAUAGGAUCUGAGAAAAGGAAACAGACUCUGCGUCGGGUGUGCUGCCAGCUGCAUAGAGUUCAUCUCGCCGGGGACAGUUCUGCCCGCUGCGGAGGACAAUGUUGCAGAUGUGGAGAUGUGAGACAGGCGGGGAGGUGUGAAACAGGCGGGGAGAUGUGAGACAGAUGUGGAGUUUGGAGGACCUAUGAGGAGUUCAGAGUUGGACAGGUUAAAUUUCAGAUGCCCAGUAGAGGGCCAAGUGGAGAUGCCGAGCAGGCGGAUGGGUGGAGGAGUCUGACAGAGGUUUGGGCAUCACGUUUGAAGAGGAGUCUCCUAGGAUUUAUGGGCUGUGUGAAGAGGAGUUCCGUUAAUAGCAUAUGGUUGGGGCUCAGAGCCAAGUGUGGUGGGCAGCAAAGCCCUGGAUUCCUGUGCCCUUGACGUGGCUCGUCUAUGUAUCUAACCCAGUGCAGCAUCUUAAUCAACUCUUCCCACCACUGGCUUCACUGGCACCUUAUCAAAGGCUCCCCCGUCUCACUCUUAGCACCGCUCCCUGCUUGUCCUCUGAAUGGACAGCGCUGCCUGGCUGAACUCUUCCGUGGUCUCUGAGGUUCUCAACUUGCCCGGCUCUUGACAUUUUGUCUUUAGCUCCCAUUGCUCCAAGCUUUGUGGCUGCAGGGAAGCCCCCCUACUCCUGAGUAACUCCACCCGCCCCGCUCACCCCAGUUCUGCAAACUCCAGCCCAGGCAGGGCCCAGGCCCCCUAUUCACUCCGGAGAUGUCAACAUUUGCACAAUUUCUAAUUCAAUUCCCAGAAGGUAGACAUACAGGGUGGGGCAAAAGUAGGUUUACAGUAGUGAUUACUCAAAACAGUGUAUUCCUGUAAUUUUUUAAUUAAUUUUGUAUUAUUUUCCAUACAAACCAUUUUUAAAAAUCAAUUUUAACUAUAAA